rnacentral:piRNA from 1 species
AGAUACCAGGGGACACAAGUGC